GAUGAACGCUAGCGGGAGGCCCAACACAUGCAAGCCGAGCGGUAUUUGUUCUUCGGAACAGAGAGAGCGGCGCACGGGUGCGGAACACGUGUGCAACCUGCCUUUAUCUGGGGGAUAGCCUUUCGAAAGGAAGAUUAAUACCCCAUAAUAUAUUGAGUGGCAUCAUUUGAUAUUGAAAACUCCGGUGGAUAGAGAUGGGCACGCGCAAGAUUAGAUAGUUGGUGAGGUAACGGCUCACCAAGUCAAUGAUCUUUAGGGGGCCUGAGAGGGUGAUCCCCCACACUGGUACUGAGACACGGACCAGACUCCUACGGGAGGCAGCAGUGAGGAAUAUUGGACAAUGGGUUAGCGCCUGAUCCAGCCAUCCCGCGUGAAGGACGACGGCCCUAUGGGUUGUAAACUUCUUUUGUAUAGGGAUAAACCUACUCUCGUGAGAGUAGCUGAAGGUACUAUACGAAUAAGCACCGGCUAACUCCGUG
rnacentral:rRNA from 1 species